rnacentral:rRNA from 1 species
UGCAGUCGUGGGAGAUGUCGUAGCAAUACGAUUAGUAAACCGGCGUACGGGUGAGUAACACGUGGAUAACGUGCCUUGAAGCCCGGGAUAACCCGUCGAAAGACGGACUAAUACCGGAUAAGACCACGGGAAGUUCGCUUCCUGAGGUAAAAGGUGGCCUCUGCUCCUGCAAGCUAUCACUUCUAGAGCGGUCCGCGGCCUAUCAGCUAGUUGGCGAGGUAACGGCUCACCAAGGCGAAGACGGGUAGCUGGUCUAAGAGGAUGGUCAGCCACACUGGGACUGAGACACGGCCCAGAGUCCUACGGGAUGCAGCAGUCAGGAAUAUUGCGCAAUGGAGGAAACUCUGACGCAGCGACGCCGCGUGGGUGAUGAAGGCCUUCGGGUCGUAAAGCCCUGUCGGGAGGGAAGAAAAGCUUGCUGGCUAAUAUCCAGCGAGCCUUUGACGGUACCUUCAAAGGAAGCACCGGCUAACUCCGUGCCAGCAGCCGCGGUAAGACGGAGGGUGCAAGCGUUGUUCGGAUUGACUGGGCGUAAAGGGCGUGUAGGCGGUUCGUUAAGUCGGGUGUGAAAGCCCGGGGCUCAGCUCCGGAAGUGCGCCCGAAACUGGCGAGCUGGAGCGCGGUAGAGGAGGGUGGAAUUCCUGGUGUAGCGGUGAAAUGCGUAGAUAUCAGGAGAACACCGGCGGCGAGCGGCCCUCUGGACCGUUGCUGACGCUGAGACGCGAAAGCGUGGGGAGCAAACAAUUAGAUACCCUGGUAGUCCACGCUGUAAACGAUGGGUACUAGUGUUCGGGUGUUGACCCCCUGAUGCCGACGCUAACGCAUUAAGUACCCCGCCUGGGGCUACG